CCAGGGCUCAGAGAGGCUGAGAGUGGCACAGGGUCCACCGCCAGGCCCAGCCCGGGGUCCCAGGGCACAGGAUGCUCUUUCCUCAGGAGCCAACACCUCCCAACCCAGCAAGCAAAGCGCCCCUUGCCGGCUCCCCAGGGACUGCGGAGGAUUAAACUCUCAUUUAGGUUGGCCCCCGAGGUGUCCCGCAUCAGUGAAAGGAAGACAUCAAGUCAGAGAAAGCCAUCAUCCCCAAGAUGCCUGGCGCUGAAGGUCUCCUGUGGGACCGAACGCAACCUUUCCAUCUGAUUCAGUGAGACUACGCAAGGUGGUCCUCAGGAGGGUGCAAAGCAUGCCGGGGAAUCCUCUGGAGGUGCUGAGGCUCACCCGGGACUCUAUCCAUAUGGCUGGUGCUGGCAUCAGAAGAAAAAAUUUGGACAGACACACAGACGGGGAAGGCGCUGUCAAGACACAAGGAGACCGCCUGUACCAGCCCAGGACAGAGACCAGGAGCAAAUGCUUCCCCAGGCCCUCAGAAGGAACAAACCUGCCGAUACCUCCCUUUAAGAUUUCAUUUCCAGACCUGUGAGACAAUAAAUCUCUG